AGGGCGUAUGGUGGAUGCCUUGGCAGACAGGACCGAUGAAGGACGUUUGAGGCUGCGAUAUGCCUCGGGGAGCCGCCAACAGGGCUUUGAUCCGAGGAUUUCCGAAUGGGGGAACCCACCGACCGUCAUGGGUCGGUACCGGCUUCGGCCGGGGGGUACGCAGGGAAGUGAAACAUCUCAGUACCUGCAGGAAAGGAUAUUCCGUGAGUAGUGGCGAGCGAAAGCGGAUGAUGGCCAAACCUUGCGCGUGUGAUACCCGUCGGGGGUUGCGCGCGGGGUGUUGCGGGAUCGCGUGCGCCGGCUCCGACGGGCCGGCCGGCAGUUGCAGAAAACCAUGUGUCAGGGGAACCGGGUUGAAUACCGGGCCGCAGAGGGUGAGGGCCCCGUACCUGAACGCGCAUGGUCUGCCGAUCGCGUCUCCCAAGUAGCACGGGUCCCGUGGAACCCCGUGCGAAUCCGCCCAGACCGUUGGGUAAGCCUGAAUAUUCCUGUCUGACCGAUAGCGAACGAGUACCGUGAGGGAAAGGUGAAAAGUACCCCGGGAGGGGAGUGAAACAGUCUCUGAAACCGUGCGCCUACAAUCCGUCGGAGCCCUUUUGUGGGGUGACGGCGUGCCUAUCGAAAAAUGAGUCUGCGAGUCAGUGGCAUGUGGCGAGCAUAACCCGUGUGGGGUAUGCGUAGCGAAGGCGAGUCUUAAAAGGCGUUUGAGUCGCGUGUCCUGGACCCGAAGCGGGAUGAUCUAGCCCUGAGCAGGUUGAAGCGCGGGUAAGACCGCGUGGAGGACCGAACCCACCUGGGUUGAAAACCGGGGGGAUGACUUGGGGCUAGGGGUGAAAGGCCAAUCAAAUUCCGUGAUAGCUGGUUCUCUCCGAAAUGCAUUUGGGUGCAGCGUCGGGUCAUUACGUCCCGGGGGUAGAGCUACUGGAUGCUUGCGGGCCCGUAUCGGGUACCAACAGCAACCAAACUCCGAAUACCGGUGACGCGUAUCCCGGCAGUGAGUCGGCGGGGGAUAAGCUUCGUCGUCGAAAGGGAAACAGCCCAGACCGUCGUCUAAGGUCCCGAAGCGUGUGCUAAGUGGGAAAGGAUGUGGAGUCGCAUAGACAGCCAGGAGGUUGGCUCAGAAGCAGCCACCCUUGAAAGAGUGCGUAACAGCUCACUGGUCUAGUGGUUCCGCGCCGACAAUGUAGCGGGGCUCAAGCACACCACCGAAGACGCGGCAGUAUUUUGUACUGGGUAGGAGAGCGUCCCAUGAGGGGCGAAGCGGCCGUGUGAACGCGCCGUGGACUUCAUGGGAGUGAGAAUGCAGACAUGAGUAGCGAGAGACGGGUGAAGAUCCCGUCCGCUGGAUGACCAAGGGUUCCAGGGCCACGUUCAUCGUCCCUGGGUGAGUCGGGUCCUAAGGCGAGGCCGACAGGCGUAGUCGAAUGGAUGAACGGGUCGAUAUUCCCGUACCGGCUUUCAGCCGCCAAAACCGAGGCUUGGAGUACUAACCUCCGGGUCCGGGCUUACUGCUCCUUCGGGGGCGGGAUGCCCUGGCCUGUUGGGACCGAUCCUUGUAGUAGGUCAGCGCAGGAGUGACGCAGAAGGGUAGCCGGCCGCGGAGGUGGUCUUCCGUGGUCAAGCACGCAGGGCGUGGGACAGGCAAAUCCGUCCCGCAUGGGUCCGAGGUGCGAUGAUGGGGGCCUUAUGGCCCGAUAUCCGGUGAUCCCGGCUGCCGAGAAAAGCUUCGGCGUCAGGCUCAAAGCCGCCCGUACCCCAAACCGACACUGGUGGUCAGGUAGAGAAUACCAAAGCGAUCGAGCGAAUCCUGGUCAAGGAACUCGGCAAAUCACUCCCGUUCCUUCGGUUUAAGGGAGACCCCCGAUGGUGAACACACUUGCUGUGGGAGCUUUUGGGGGUGGCACAGACCAGGGGGUAGCGACUGUUUACCAAAAACACAGGUGCAUGCGAAGGCGCAAGCCGCUGUAUAUGCACUGACGCCUGCCCGGUGCCGGAAGGUUAAGAGGAUCCGUCAGCCUUCGGGUGAAGCGGUGAAUUCAAGCCCCGGUAAACGGCGGUGGUAACUAUAACCAUCCUAAGGUAGCGAAAUUCCUUGUCGGGUAAGUUCCGACCUGCACGAAUGGCGUAAUGAUGGCCAGGCUGUCUCCACCCGAGACUCAGUGAAAUUGAACUCGCUGUGAAGAUGCAGUGUACCCGCGGCAAGACGGAAAGACCCCGUGAACCUUUACUAUAGCUUGACACUGAACAUUGAGCCUUGAUGUGUAGGAUAGGUGGGAGGCUUUGAAGUGUGGACGCCAGUCUGCAUGGAGCCGACCUUGAAAUACCACCCUUUAAUGUUUGAUGUUCUAACGUUGGCCCGUAAUCCGGGUUGCGGACAGUGUCUGGUGGGUAGUUUGACUGGGGCGGUCUCCUCCUAAAGAGUAACGGAGGAGCACGAAGGUUGGCUAAUCCUGGUCGGACAUCAGGAGGUUAGUGCAAUGGCAUAAGCCAGCUUGACUGCGAGCGUGACGGCGCGAGCAGGUGCGAAAGCAGGUCAUAGUGAUCCGGUGGUUCUGAAUGGAAGGGCCAUCGCUCAACGGAUAAAAGGUACUCCGGGGAUAACAGGCUGAUACCGCCCAAGAGUUCAUAUCGACGGCGGUGUUUGGCA
rnacentral:rRNA from 1 species